GCAAAUGCUGUGAAUGGGACACGAAAGCGGUACCUGUGCUUACCCAGAGAGCCGGUUUAAGGUGGGAGUCCGGCUAAGCCGACCGUUGAAGAUCACCCGGGAGCAGCCGCGCCAAAUUUCCGGAAAGAAAGAGUAGACGCGGACGGUAGCCGUCGUUAUUGGCAUUCGGAAGGAGCCUUGUUUUUAACCGGGCACGAGGGUGGUACCGCGGGAUAUAUCUCGCCCCUGCA
rnacentral:ncRNA from 1 species